UACGUAGGUGGCGAGCGUUGUCCGGAAUUACUGGGCGUAAAGCGUGCGCAGGCGGCUAUGCAAGACAGAUGUGAAAUCCCCGGGCUCAACCUGGGAAUUGCAUUUGAGACUGAAUAGCUAGGGUGCGGAAGAGGGAAGCGGAAUUUCCGGUGUAGCGGUGAAAUGCGUAGAUAUCGGAAGGAACACCAGUGGCGAAAGCGGCUUCCUGGUCCAGCACCGACGUUCAGGCACGAAAGCGUGGGGAGCAAACAGG
rnacentral:rRNA from 1 species